rnacentral:SRP_RNA from 1 species
GCUGGGCAUGGUGUUGUAUGCCUAUAGUCCCAGCUACUUGGGAGGCUGAGGCAGGAGGACUGCUUGAGCCCAGGAGUUGGAGGUUAUAGUGAGCUAUGAUGAUUGCAGCACUGCACUCCAGCCUGGGCGACAGAGUGAAACCCUGUCUCUU